rnacentral:tRNA from 1 species
GGAGGGUUGGCCGAGCGGUCGAAGGCGGCGGUCUUGAAAACCGUAGACGGGGAGACUCGUCCGGGGGUUCGAAUCCCUCACCCUCCGCCA